GUCCGGUAUGGCCUACCAGGCGACGACGGGUAGCCGGCCUGAGAGGGUGUCCGGCCACACUGGGACUGAGAUACGGCCCAGACUCCUACGGGAGGCAGCAGUGGGGAAUAUUGCACAAUGGGCGCAAGCCUGAUGCAGCGACGCCGCGUGAGGGAUGACGGCCUUCGGGUUGUAAACCUCUUUCAGCUACGACGAAGCGCAAGUGACGGUAGUGGCAGAAGAAGCACCGGCCAACUACGUGCCAGCAGCCGCGGCCG
rnacentral:rRNA from 1 species